rnacentral:rRNA from 1 species
ACGGCUGCUCAGUAACACGUAGUCAACCUAACCUAUGGACGGGAAUAACCUCGGGAAACUGAGAAUAAUGCCCGAUAGAACACUAUACCUGGAAUGGUUUGUGUUCCAAAUGAUUUAUCGCCGUAGGAUGGGACUGCGGCCUAUCAGUUUGUUGGUGAGGUAAUGGCCCACCAAGACUAUUACAGGUACGGGCUCUGAGAGGAGUAGCCCGGAGAUGGGUACUGAGACACGGACCCAGGCCCUAUGGGGCGCAGCAGGCGAGAAAACUUUGCAAUGUGCGAAAGCACGACAAGGUUAAUCCGAGUGGUUUCUGCUAAAGGAACCUUUUGUUAGUCCUAGAAACACUAACGAAUAAGGGGUGGGCAAGUUCUGGUGUCAGCCGCCGCGGUAAAACCAGCACCUCAAGUGGUCAGGAUGAUUAUUGGGCCUAAAGCAUCCGUAGCCGGCUCUGUAAGUUUUCGGUUAAAUCUGUACGCUCAACGUACAGGCUGCCGGGAAUACUGCAGAGCUAGGGAGUGGGAGAGGUAGACGGUACUCGGGAGGAAGUGGUAAAAUGCUUUGAUCUCUCGAUGACCACCUGUGGCGAAGGCGGUCUACCAGAACACGUCCGACGGUGAGGGAUGAAAGCUGGGGGAGCAAACCGGAUUAGAUACCCGGGUAGUCCCAGCUGUAAACUAUGCAAACUCAGUGAUGCAUUGGCUUGUGGCCAAUGCAGUAUUGCAGGGAAGCCGUUAAGUUUGCCGCCUGGGUAGUACGUACGCAAGUAUGAAACUUAAAGGAAUUGGCGGGGGAGCAGAAU